UACAUAGGUCUCAAGCGUUGUUCGGAUUCAUUGGGCGUAAAGGGUGCGUAGGCGGCGCGGUAAGUCGGGUGUGAAAUCUCGGAGCUUAACUCCGAAACUGCAUUCGAUACUGCCGUGCUUGAGGACUGGAGAGGAGACUGGAAUUUACGGUGUAGCGGUGAAAUGCGUAGAUAUCGUAAGGAAGACCAGUGGCGAAGGCGGGUCUCUGGACAGUUCCUGACGCUGAGGCACGAAGGUCAGGGGAGUAAACGGG
rnacentral:rRNA from 1 species